GAGUGCGAUCAUACCAGCACUAAAGCACCGGAUCCCAUCAGAACUCCGAAGUUAAGCGUGCUUGGGCGAGAGUAGUACUAGGAUGGGUGACCCCCUGGGAAGUCCUCGUGUUGCACUCC
rnacentral:rRNA from 1 species